UCACUUAGGCAGUACAUACACUAAAAUUGGAACACUGUGAGGAUGAUGAACAUGGCCCCUGUACAAAGAGGACAUACAAAUUUUGAAAGUAUUCUUUAUUUUA